rnacentral:rRNA from 1 species
UACGUAGGCAGCGAGCGUUGUUCGGAGUUACUGGGCGUAAAGAGUGCGUAGGCGGUUUUCUAAGUUUGGUGUGAAAUCUCCCGGCUCAACUGGGAGGGUGCGCCGAAGACUGGAAGGCUCAGAGUGUGGGAGAGGUAAGCGGAAUUCCUGGUGUAGCGGUGAAAUGCGUAGAUACUAGGAGGAACACCUGCGGUGUAGACGGCUUACUGGACCAUAACUGACGCUGAGGCACGAAAGCGUGGGUAGCAAACAGG